rnacentral:tRNA from 1 species
GGGGAUUUGGCUCAGUGGUAGAGUGCUUGCCUAGGAAGCGCAAGGUCCUGGGUUCAAUCCCCAGCCCUA